AAAGCAGGGAUUGUGUGUAUCAGCAUUGUGCUAUGAUAGGUGCACUCUGUCCGAAAGAGUUCCCUGCUACAUCAAUCUGGGGAAGAUGGGCAGUUGUGUUUCAUUCCUUCUAUUGAAAAUUUCAAUAAUCAUCAUCUCCACAUUU